UACGUAGGGUGCAGGCGUUAAUCGGAAUUACUGGGCGUAAAGCGUGCGCAGGCGGUUGUGCAAGACAGAUGUGAAAUCCCCGGGCUCAACCUGGGAACUGCAUUUGUGACUGCACGGCUAGAGUGUGUCAGAGGGGGGUAGAAUUCCACGUGUAGCAGUGAAAUGCGUAGAUAUGUGGAGGAAUACCGAUGGCGAAGGCAGCCCCCUGGGAUAACACUGACGCUCAUGCACGAAAGCGUGGGGAGCAAACAGG
rnacentral:rRNA from 1 species